rnacentral:rRNA from 1 species
AGAGUUUGAUUAUGGCUCAGGAUGAACGCUGGCGGCGUGCCUAACACAUGCAAGUCGAGCGGAGAUAAGUUGAAGCCUAGCGAUUCUUAUCUUAGCGGCGGAUGGGUGAGUAACACGUGGGUAACCUGCCCUGUACUGGGGGAUAACAGCUGGAAACGGCUGUUAAUACCGCAUAUGCGCACGGAGCCGCAUGGCCCUGGGCGGAAAGAUUCAUCGGUACAGGAUGGGCCCGCGCCGGAUUAACUUGUUGGCGGGGUAACGGCCCACCAAGGUGAUGAUCCGUAGCCGACCUGAGAGGGUGACCGGCCACAUUGGGACUGAGACACGGCCCAAACUCCUACGGGAGGCAGCAGUGGGGGAUAUUGCACAAUGGGGGAAACCCUGAAUGCAGCGACGCCGCGUGAAGGAAGAAGUAUUUCGGUAUGUAAACUUCUAUCAGCGGGGAAGAAGAUGACGGUACCCGCACAAGAAGCCCCGGCUAACUACGUGCCAGCAGCCGC